rnacentral:rRNA from 1 species
ACUCCUACGGGAGGCAGCAGUGGGAAUCUUGGACAAUGGGGCACCGUGCAUCAGCCAUGCCGCGUGAGUGAUGAAGGCCCUAGGGUCGUAAAGCUCUUUCGCCUGUGAUGAUAAUGACAGUAGCAGGUAAAGAAACCCGCGUACAUCCGUGCCAGCAGCCGCGGUAAUACGGAGGGGUUAGCGUUGUUCGGAAUUACUGGGCGUAAAGCGCGCGUA